UACAGAGGAUGCGAGCGUUAAUCGGAAUUACUGGGCGUAAAGCGCGCGUAGGCGGUUUGUUAAGUCAGCUGUGAAAGCCCCGGGCUCAACCUGGGAACUGCAGUUGAUACUGGCCGACUGGAGUGCGAGAGAGGGAGGUAGAAUUCCAUGUGUAGCGGUGAAAUGCGUAGAUAUAUGGAGGAAUACCGGUGGCGAAGGCGGCCUCCUGGCUCGACACUGACGCUGAGGUGCGAAGGCGUGGGGAUCAAACAGG
rnacentral:rRNA from 1 species